AAAUUGAAGAGUUUGAUCAUGGCUCAGAUUGAACGCUGGCGGCAGGCCUAACACAUGCAAGUCGAACGGUAACAGGAAGCAGCUUGCUGCUUUGCUGACGAGUGGCGGACGGGUGAGUAAUGUCUGGGAAACUGCCUGAUGGAGGGGGAUAACUACUGGAAACGGUGGCUAAUACCGCAUAAUGUCGCAAGACCA
rnacentral:rRNA from 1 species